CCGGCGCACGGGUGAGUAACACGUAUCCAACCUGCCGUCUACUCUUGGACAGCCUUCUGAAAGGAAGAUUAAUACAAGAUGGCAUCACGAGUCCGCAUGUUCACAUGAUUAAAGGUGUUCCGGUAGACGAUGGGGAUGCGUUCCAUUAGAUAGUAGGCGGGGUAACGGCCCACCUAGUCUUCGAUGGAUAGGGGUUCUGAGAGGAAGGUCCCCCACAUUGGAACUGAGACACGGUCCAA
rnacentral:rRNA from 1 species